CUGUCGUUAAGAUGGCGUCCCCGCUCCGAGUUCUCCUGGCUUUGGCUGCAGCUUCAUCUCGCCUGAAAUACUUCGACACUUGUCCCAUCAUGGUACACUGCUUCACCACGGGCCCAAAGCAUCGGCCAAACCAUUUCCGAACCUCCAGAAAUCAUCUUUCUCUUCGACCUGCUUGCAUCUUUACCCUAAAUUCACACACGCUGGUUUGACACAAGAUCCGCUCUCUUCAUGGAUUUCCUCAAUGGGUUUGGUCACAUUAAACUCAUCAUGUGUCUCAAAUCAUUACUGCCGCUUUACAGAAUGCCACAGAUGGAGUAAGUCAUAAACAGGAGUCUGACUGGUGGAGGCUGCAAGACCGAAAACAGAGUUCCACUUCCGGAUGUGAGGAGAAGGGUCUUAGAUUUUCUCUUCGGUUUCCUGACUGAAUGCAUCUCACUGCUCCGGUUGCCACGCCUUCCCCGUAUGGAAGACUGUAGUAGCCCACGGAUAAUUGGCCCAAAUAAACCGCUGUAAUAAAACAUCCUAAUAAAGAAGCAACCAGGGAAGAAAGGGCUUAUUUUAGUCCACAA